UUAUUUGAGAAAAACUCACUACACGUCUUGUAUUUUUUAAGAGUACAUUUAAUAUUUAACGAGAACAGUGCUAAUUUAUGUCGUAUAGUGAGCACAGGUUUUUUAAUUAACGUGAGUCGACAGAGGUGGACAAACACACACAGGGACGACUGAAGACUUUGCAAUCCUGGGAUAACAAUCCUGGGAUAACAGUCCUGGGAUAACAGUCCUGGGAUAACAGUCCUGGGAUAACAGUCCUGGGAUAACAGUCCUGGGAUAACAAUCCUGGGAUAACAAUCCUGGGAUAACAAUCCUGGGAUAAUCCUGGGAUAACAAUCCUGGGAUAACAAUCGCAAUGGAAAUAAAGUUUAGACUGACAAGAAAAUUAGUGAGAAUGUGAAUUUGAAAUAAAUGUUGGAAGAGAAUAUAGAGAUAAAAAGCGCAGUAAGGAAGCUUAAGAAGAGAAAAGGAGAAGAAAUGGCGAAGAGAAGAAUAAGAAAGAAGAUGAACAGAGAGAGAAAUUAGGGAGAGGGAGAAAGAGAUGUAAAAUGAUAUCUUCAGGCGACGAAAUGACAAGGACACAGUGAAGGAGGAGAUGCAGGCAUGAAAUAGAUGGUAAAUGUAUGAUAAGUAGCGGUAACUGUUGCUGGUGUUGGUGAAGAUAAAAAAACACACACAAACACACACACACAACACACACACACACACACACACACACACACACACACACACACACACACACACUUAAACCCCUCCUUCAUAAUAAGCAGUGACCAGCUAUGACGCAGCGAUAACAGCACCGUCCCACGAUUGGCUACUGAUGACAAGAGUCAACCAGGCUAUUGGUGGAAACUUGCCUUGGACGACCUUCACGUCCAUUACCGCCUUCUCCAGCUCAUGUACUUAUAUAAGCCAGGUGAAACUACUAAAACUAUAAGCAGGUUAAGUGUAACCAGCAAGUGUAGCAGGUAGCUAGCAUGGACCCGUCUGCACCAUGGCCUUGGGUGUUUAUAUCUCUCCCUGAGGAGGCAAUAGAGGCUUAAAUUAUUUCUUGAUUCCCGACUGAAAGGUAUAGUUUUGGACCUGCAAGAAUCUGUGAUUUAGUGACGCAUGGGUGGGCGUCAGGCAUGUCAGUGGGCGUCAGCAUGUCAGUGGACGUCAGGCAUGUCAGUGGACGUCAGGCAUGUCAGACAGCGUCAGGCAUGUCACAACACCACCUGAAAUGUUUUGAGGACAGAAGGAUACUCUGUUACCACCAGGGAUGUUAUGGGAUUGCGAAGAAGGCCUUCGUACCAUCAGGGAUGUCAUAUCAGCCCUAGAAAUGCCAUAACACCACCAGGAAUACCCACUCACUUCAGGAACUGCCCUAUCGUCACCUUGACUACCUCGACUUAUCCAAACAUGCUACCAUACCUACAAGGAGGGAUAACUUCGCUGGUGUAUCAGGCAGCAUCACUCUCCUUGACUACAUCACCUGGCUAUCCUGGAGUUUUCGAUCUCUGAGUCUAUAUUAUCUAAUACGUACGAGCAGUUCUCAAUUAUACCAGUUGAAUCAAAUUUCUUAAUUCAUUUGAAACAUAUUUUUCCAAAGCAAAUGUUAAUUUCUCGAGAUUUAAACUUGUCUUCAUUCUACAUGACACAAUUCUUUAUUGACAAUUAACAUUCCAGAUGUUUUAUAAAGGUUUAACUAGCAAUGUUUUACACAUCUCUUGCUCUUAGUAAACUCAUCUUAAAUAAUUUCGCUAAACAACCGUAGUCAUUUUAAAUAAUUUCGCUAAAAGAAAGUAUUUUCUGUAAUAAUAAGUUAAUGGAGCUUAAAUCUUCUGUCGAUUACAGAUUUAUUAUAUCGUAUAUAAUACAUUUUAUUGAAUUAUGCCAUUUUUGUAACAUUAUAUCCAUUCGCUGAUGUAUAUAGAGGGUACAAUACUACAGUAUACCCUGCUUUAUACAGUAUGCACCAUAUUUAUACCAACAGUUUACUGCGCCAAUUCACAGGCGGGAAACAGAUAUACUCACUAAUUUACCGCAGUAAUUCAGACUGUGAUCAGCAUGGCGCUGAAGAAUUCUUUCGAUAUAUAUUUUUUAUCCCAUUUUUUAGAUUUUCUUACCUUACCGAGGUAAACUUUCCGUAAAAUAUUCACUUUGUUCUUUAAUUUUCGAGUCGAAUUUUGUAUAUUGUUACAUUGUAGACUUAGAGAAAUUUAUUGACGAUAAAAUCAUUUAUUUUUAUAAAUACUAGAAAAAUAAAUCUGGUAUAUUUAAUAAAAUAUUAGAGAUAAUGUGAUAUCAAGGUCAGUUUUAAGAAGAUAUAUCAAGAUCAACUUUCUGAAGCUUCGAAUUACUAAAAAUUUUAUCAUCAAUAAAUUUCAUAUUUCAUAAGUUUAUUUUAUAAGAUUUAAAAUUUGUGGUACUGUAUCCAAUAUUUUAAUUAUAAGUAAAUAUGUUUCACACUUGAAAUACAAUGUAUAACACAGUCAUCAUAUUAGUAACACAAUGAAUCAUACAUUAAACACAGUGUAACAAACAAACAACACAUAAAUCAUGUUUGUAACACAAUGUUUCACAGCAGCAACACAAUAAGUAACUUGCAACAACCUCUUUGUUGCAAAUAUUAAUAAUUUGAUCCAUGUAUUUAUGGAGCCUAAAGAAUAAUUCGAAUAAUAUUUUAUUUUUCGCUUCUAGAUGUCUUUUUAUUUUUUGUAUAAAGUAUUAUUAAAAAUAUA